AACUUUUAGCAACGGAUCUCUUGGCUCUUGCAACGAUGAAGAACGCAGCAAAAUGCGAAAGGUAUUGUGACAUGCAAUCUUUGUGAAGCAACGAAUUUUUGAACGCACCUUGCACCGAGCGGCCAGGCCGGUCGGUAUACUUGUUUGAGCAUCGGGCCCCCUCUGCAGCGGAAGCGAUGCGGGACAUGGCCUUCUCGCAGCCAUAAUGGCGGCGAGUGGGCCUCAAUGCAGGGCGGCGGGCGGGCGCGCACAUGGGAUAGAGCGGAGAUCGAUCGCAUGGGCGCGCACGGCAGCCGCGGAGACGCAGGUCUGCUUCUGCAGACAGCGGCUCGACACAGCACAACACACGAUCUCAAAUCAAGUAGGAAGACCCGCCGAACUUAAGCAUAUCAAUAAGCGGAGGC
rnacentral:misc_RNA from 1 species